GACGAAGGAUGCAAGCGUUAUCCGGAUUCAUUGGGUUUAAAGGGAGCGUAGGUGGCCUUAUAAGUCAGUGGUGAAAUCUCUGGGCUUAACCCAGAAAUUGCCAUUGAUACUGUAGGGCUUGAGUAUAGUUGCCGUUGGCGGAAUAUGACAUGUAGUGGUGAAAUACAUAGAGAUGUCAUAGAACACCGAUUGCGAAGGCAGCUGACGAAACUAUAACUGACACUGAGGCUCGAAAAGUGUGGGGAUCAAACAGG
rnacentral:rRNA from 1 species